GAAAAACCUUCCUUUUCUUUGAGGCUAUUACUCUUAUGGAACUGGUCACUGGUUCAGGGCUGACCCAAUAUUCAGCACUGGCUCUGAGGGUUGAACUUGGUUCCUUUCAGCAUUCAGGCAGCUCCCCAACACCCUGCACACAAUGCCCAGACCCACUGGACCAGACAGACAGAGCCCGCCUCCAACAAGGGCACCCACCAGUGCUGAAUGGGAUCGAGUAGACGAAGCUCCCUGGAAUCUGCUCAGCGGCUCUUCGGUACCAGAGAGGGAAAUGGUCUGCGUUAAAAAUGUUCUCCUUGUCGCCAGCUUUCAGGAAGUCCCUUGAAGUGGAAAAGAAUCAGAAGAACAUGCAUCACUCAGCAGAGUAAAGGUGGGCCUGGAGCACCCCGACAGCCUUCAUCAGACAUGAAAUUCUUCAUAAACCUGACCUGGACGGUGUGAGGAGGAGCCUCUGUUGCCUGGCCCAUGGCAGGAUGCAUUGCUACUCUCUACCCUGGGUCACAGGUGCAGCCACGACUGAGCAGAAGGUGUUCGCACUCCCAGCAGGUCUGUUCAGUGGUCAUUACAGCUAAGAGGUGCCCUGUCUAUGCAGCACAGGUUAAUGAUGCCCACAGGGGACCUUUUUCCAGAGUCAUGGUAGAUGAGAUGGUGGCUUGGUUAGAAGGUAUGAAGUGGUCCUCACUUAAGGCAGUGACAUUCAGGCUUUGGGGGUGGCUGGCAAUAGAUCUGGAAUGCUGCACAUCUGGGUGUCCAGUGCCCUGCUGCCCGGGACAGUGCUGGCACCUAGGGCAGCCAGCAGGAGCCUGCAGCACUUGAUCCCCAUUAGCCCUGGUGUCACUGCGAAAGGACUGAGUUGCCGGGAAACCCUGGAGGCCUCUGCCAACUACUAGGCAGCAAUUCUGGAGGAAACAGGAAGGAGCAACCUGAUUUUACAGAAUCCCAAAAAUGUUCUUCAGGAAGAAAGAUCCUUCUGGGUAAGGUGAAAGUCUCCUCCUGGAUACUAGGAGCUAUUGCAGUGGUGUGUCAGGCUGGUCUAGAUUCUGGGAAGAACUGGGUGACUCUGAGUGAGUAAUUGAGUCUCCGACCCCCAUUUACUCAUCUACAAAAUGGGAACAAUAAAAACGCUGCACUUUACCAGGGUUGUAUCAGAAUUACAUAACACCAUAUGUGAAAGAGUGUUAUGGACACUGAAAACAGGCUCUAACAAAUAUAUGGGAUUCUUAAAGCCCAAGAGCUCUUUUGUUCUUGGUGGUUGAAAGGGCAGGGGUAAAGUGGUCAUCUUCUUAACUUAAGGCUGUACGCUGUGAAGGCUAACAUCACUGGAUGCUAUAUGCAUGUGAUGUGAGAAGUCGUACUGAAGGCACAGAAUGUAUUAUAACUAUUGGGGGUGACGGCCAAGUUUCAGUAUAAUCGACCUACUUCCAAAUGCAGGUGGCGGGGGUAUGGGAUGAAAUCUCAGUGUAGGAGACUGAUGAUAGUAUGAGAUAAUUGCAGGGUAGCAACUUUAUAUUAUCAAGUUCUCUGCCCAAUACUUAAAGCUCUGCCUUUCAUGCCCUAGUCAAAAGCAAAAACUAAACCAAAAGUCAGAAAUGCUAAAAACUUUCUAAGCCUGGCUUAGAGAGUGUAUCCAAAUAGCUGGAUCUUGACAAAUACCAUUUGAUGGGAGGGGAUAGGCAGGUAAGACCCUAAGACAAUAGAUGUCAAGGUGCCUCUAUAUGAAGCAAUGACAGGAGUUUCUUGAAGACAGAUUUCAUCCAUUCAAAUUGUCAAUGAGUACCCACUCUGUGGGUCACGUAAUGCCACAAAGAAUAGAACACACAGUUGUAGGAAUUUUUAGCUUCCCAAAGAAAUUUUCCAUCCAUAAAAAAAAAAAGAGUUUUUUUGAGACAGAGUCUCACUCUGUUGCCCAGGCUGGAGUGCAGUGACACAAUCUCAGCUCACUACAGCCUUCACCUCCCGGGUUCAAGUGAUUCUCCUACCUCAGCCUCCUGAGUAGCUGGGAUUACAGGUGUGUGCCACCAUGCCCGGCUAAUUUUUGUAUUUUUAGUAAAGACAGGGUUUCACCAUGUUGACCAGGCUGGUCUCAAACUCCUGACCUCAAGUGAUCUGCCUGCCUUGGCCUCCCAAAGUUCUGGGAUUACAGGCAUGAGUCACUGUGCCCAGCUCAUCCAUAAUUUUUUUUGAUCUUCACAGUAACCAAAAGAGAUCAUCGCUCUCACUUUUCAGGAGGACAGAAUGAAGAUACCCAAGUGAGAUAAGCCAGGUACACCUC
rnacentral:lncRNA from 1 species